GGUCAGGUGGUGUAAUUGGUAACAUCCCUGUUAUAUAAUCAGAAGCCCUGGGUUCAAUUCCCAGUCUGGCCA